CGUUUACAUGCUUACAUACAAUCCAAAUCACCCAUUUAAAAGAAGUUGAACUAUUAUGAUUAAAUUUCAAAAUCAGCUAUUCAUAUUGGAUUAUAUAAUUGUGCAGAUGUGGAUCUUCUAAAGGACAUGCUCUCAUAUUGAAGAUUAUUUUGAUUUCGCAUUGGUGUUUGAACUUAUGAGCAUGAUAGAAGAUUCUGGAUAACUUUCUUGAACUUUUUACAGUGUACUUCUUAGCGAGGUUUUCUGAACUCUUUGAAAUGCAUAAAUGGAGAUUUAAUGCUAUGUAUUUUCUUGUUCUAAUUGAUUUGCUGGUUAGUUGGUACUUUUGUUCAUAACCAUGGAGAUAUUUUAGAAGUUCGGAAUUUUUAAAAGCCGAAGUCCAGUUCUACUCUUUUCUUUUUCAGAUAGUUCAUUUUGUCAUGCACCAGUGAUGUCGUCUCACAGUAACACAGGCUGAGCAGGUAGAGGUCAGUGCAGUUCAGACAUAAAAGUCGCGCAGUUCAGACAUGGUAGCAUGCAUUAUCAAGUGAUGGAUCAAUAUGUCUUUUUCCCCUACUUCCUUGCCUAUUAUGUGCAGCUUGCUAAUACAGUCGUAGAGGAGUACGUUGAUCAGUAUAAGGUUUAAUAAUAUAUUACCUAUAUGGAUGUGCAAUGUUUAUUUAUUCAAUUAUACAUUGAAAUCAACAAAAAAAUAAUCACAAGGCAGUUCACAUCAUUGAAAAAUAGGCAGUACGCUCAUCCUAUUUUGGCAGUUCAUUAUAUAAAAUAACAAAAGUUCACUAUUUCUCUGAGAAGUUCAUUUAUUACUACAAAGGGGGUUCACUUUGUUGAUAAAAGUAUCAAUUCAUCAUGCUGAAGUUCCCUUCUUAAAAAUACAUAAUGAUUUGCUACUGCCCCCUUAGUCUCCUACAUGAAUCUGCAUAAGUUGUUAUCUCGUGUUGGGUCAAAAUAUUUAUUUUCUUACUACCUUCACUACUAUUUGCAGCUUGCUAAUACAGAGGAGUACACUGACUGUCGAUUUUCUUGGAAACUAGGAGAGAUAUUGAUUAGGUAACAAUUUACGAUCCUUGCUACCCCUCUCUCUAUAUCUACUUAAUUGAUUCAAUUGCCACUGUGAUUCAUAUUGUUGAAAUGGGCAUUAGAAGCCCAGUCUACCCAUUAACUUUCAACUUGUAGAAGUAUCCAGGUGUUCAUUCGAGCCUUGCAUGGAAGUUCACUUCUUAGUACGCUGAGCACCGUCGGGAGGCCACAUGUCCCUACAAUGGCAGUCUAGUGUGCGCCUGCGGGGAGUCCACCAGAAGAUGGUCGUAGCCGGCAGCCGGCUACAAUUCCUGCAAGGACGCCGACCCUGCUCCCAGAUUUCUGUGGUCCGCCCAGAGGUACCCUCCAACCAGCUCUCACAUGGUUGUGAUUGCUGAAUUGAACUGCUCUGCACGCCCUACCACAGCUUACAAGUUCACGGUCGCCUCCCUCAGGAGCCCAUCACACUCCGCUGUGCAGUCCACCUUGCGCGUCGUCCUGAAGUACACCUUGCGCCCCUUCUCCCGCUCUCGGCUGUGACUCCUCCUAAGCUUCGCUGAUAAGUUCAUUUGGUACAGCAAAGGGGGUUCACUUUUGUCGAUAAAAGUAUCAAUUCAUCAUGCUUAAGUUAUCUUAUACAAAACGAUUUGCUCCUGCCCCAUUAUACUCCUACAUGAAUCUGCAUAAGUGAAGUUGUUAUCUUGUGAUGGGUCUACAUAUUUCAUUUUCUCACUACCUUUACUACUACUUGCAGCUUCCUAAUAUGGAGGUGUACAUCGAUCGGCAAUUUUCUGGAAAACUAGGAGAGAUACUGAUAAGCCCAGCGUCAUGGGUCUCUUGUCAAGCAGAGCUAAGGCGAAAAGUUACUCGACGGGGACACGACCUGAUCCAGGUGUAGACUUUGUGAUGGAUACGUGAGUGUACUCACUUGGCCACCAGGUGCAUGUAUGUUACUAUUGCCAGAUUGAUUCCCAAGUGAUACAAUGUAGAGUCGACAGAGGUCGGUUGAUCAGGUCAAUGCAGGGAGGGAGGCAUGAUCAGUCCAGGUCAACAA